rnacentral:rRNA from 1 species
AGUGAACGCUGGCGGUAGGCCUAACACAUGCAAGUCGAGCGACCACACAGUAAGAGCUUGCUCUUGCGGGUGGCGAGUGGCGGACGAGUGAGGAGUACAUAGGAUUCUACUUUUUCGUGGGGAUAACGUAGGGAAACGUGCGCUAAUCGCGCAUAAGUCCUACGGGUGAAAGCCGGGAGUCUUCGGACCUUGCGCGAUCGCAUGUGCCGAUGCCGGAUUAGCUAGUUGGUGGGGUAAAGGCCAACCAAGGCGACGAUCCGUAGCCGGUCUGAGAGGGUGAUCGGCCACACUGGAACUGAGACACGGUCCAGACUCCUACGGGAGGCAGCAGUAGGGAAUAUUCGACAAUGGGCGCAAGCCUGAUCCAGCCACACCGCGUGAGUGAAGAAGGCCUUCGGGUUGUAAAGCCCUUUUGUUGGGAAAGAAAAGCAGCAGGUGUAUACCCCGCCGUUCUGACGGUACCUAAAGAAUAAGCACCGGCUAACUUCGUG